GAGGUUGUGGCUCAGUGGUAGAGCACUUGCCUCGAAUAUGUGAGGCACUGAGUUCGAUCCUCAGCACCACA
rnacentral:tRNA from 1 species